AGUGAACGCUGGCGGUAGGCCUAACACAUGCAAGUCGAACGGCAGCACAGAGGAGCUUGCUCCUUGGGUGGCGAGUGGCAGACGGGUGAGGAAUACAUCGGAAUCUACUCUGUCGUGGGGGAUAACGUAGGGAAACUUACGCUAAUACCGCAUACGACCUACGGGUGAAAGCAGGGGACCUUCGGGCCUUGCGCGAUUGAAUGAGCCGAUGUCGGAUUAGCUAGUUGGCGGGUUAAAGGCCCACCAAAGCGACGAUCCGUAGCUGGUCUGAGAGGAUGAUCAGCCACACUGGAACUGAGACACGGUCCAGACUCCUACGGGAGGCAGCAGUGGGGAAUAUUGGACAAUGGGCGCAAGCCUGAUCCAGCCAUACCGCGUGGGUGAAGAAGGCCUUCGGGUUGUAAAGCCCUUUUGUUGGGAAAGAAAUCCAGCUGGCUAAUACCCGGUUGGGAUGACGGUACCCAAAGAAUAAGCACCGGCUAACUUCGUGCCAGCCGCCGCAGUAA
rnacentral:rRNA from 1 species